rnacentral:rRNA from 1 species
GUAGGUGGCAAGCGUUGUCCGGAAUUAUUGGGCGUAAAGCGCGCGCAGGCGGUCCUUUAAGUCUGAUGUGAAAGCCCACGGCUCAACCGUGGAGGGUCAUUGGAAACUGGGGGACUUGAGUACAGAAGAGGAAAGCGGAAUUCCAAGUGUAGCGGUGAAAUGCGUAGAGAUUUGGAGGAACACCAGUGGCGAAGGCGGCUUUCUGGUCUGUAACUGACGCUGAGGCGCGAAAGCGUGGGGAGCAAACAGGGAUUAGAUACCCUGGUAGUCCACGCCGUAAACGAUGAGUGCUAAGUGUUAGGGGGUUUCCCGCCCCUUAGUGCUGCAGCUAACGCAUUAAGCACUCCGCCUGGGGAGUACGGCCGCAAGGCUG